UUUCUUGAUUGCAUCUUUUUUUUCUUCUUAUUUUGAUUUCAUCUUUUUGUUUCCUUGUUCAAAAUAUACCAUGUCCCCGACUUAAUUGCUUCUCUCUUCUUUUCACAAAUCAACUCUUAAUUCUUGGUGAUUUUAUCAUACAUUGGUUCCGGGUUUGUUUUCAAAGAAAAAUAGAAUGGAUCAAUGAUGAAUUUGUUUGUUGUUUUUAAAUGCAAAACAACAAUCUUAC
rnacentral:lncRNA from 1 species